UUUGAGUUUAUGUGUUGAUUUGAAUCUUGUGAAUCUCCUCGUUGGAAUUGAAAUCACCUCUCCUCACUGAAUCGCCGAUCGCUAGAUGUAUCCGCAAGGAAGGAUGUCUCAUCAUUUCAGAGAGAUGUGUGUUGGAGACCAUCUUGCUGUUAAGGGACCAAGGUUUGAGUGGGCGUGGCAGCAUCCGAGAGCGUGCAGUACGAGAAGCUGCUGCUGCUUUCAAGUCCUUCUCUGGACUUGCACGCAAGAUCAAGCUUGCAUACACAAUGCUAACUCUUCCAACUUG